rnacentral:rRNA from 1 species
CCUACGGGGGGCAGCAGUGGGGAAUAUUGCACAAUGGGGGAAACCCUGAUGCAGCGACGCCGCGUGAGUGAAGAAGUAAUUCGUUAUGUAACGCUCUAUCAGCAGGGAAGAAAAUGACGGUACCUGAGUCAGAAGCCCCGGCUAACUACGUGCCAGCAGCCGCGGUAAUACGUAGGGGGCAAGCGUUAUCCGGAUUUACUGGGUGUAAAGGGAGCGUAGACGGCAGUGCAAGUCUGGAGUGAAAGGCGGGGGCUCAACCCCCGGACUGCUCUGGAAACUGUACGGCGGGAGUGCAGGAGAGGUAAGUGGAAGUCCUAGUGUAGCGGUGAAAUGCGUAGAUAUUAGGAGGAACACCAGUGGCGAAGGCGGCUUACUGGACUGUAACUGACGUUGAGGCUCGAAAGCGUGGGGAGCAAACAGGAUUAGAUACCCGAGUAGUC